rnacentral:rRNA from 1 species
CACGUAGGGCGCAAGCGUUGUCCGGAAUUACUGGGCGUAAAGCGCACGUAGGCGGAUUGUUAAGUGAGGGGUGAAAGCCCAGGGCUCAACCCUGGAACUGCCUCUCAUACUGGCAAUCUUGAGUUCGGAAGAGGUAAGUGGAAUUGCGAGUGUAGAGGUGAAAUUCGUAGAUAUUCGCAGGAACACCAGUGGCGAAGGCGGCUUACUGGUCCGAAACUGACGCUGAGGUGCGAAAGCGUGGGGAGC